AUGUAUAGCAAAGACCUCCAAGGCCUCUUUCCAAAAAUCUUGUCACCUCUUGAGGAGCCAAAAAGAUUGCCUGUUGUGUUUGGCAAAAUCUACUUUCUGAAAACAGCUACUGUGAGUCUACUGCAACAGUGUGGAGCAGCUCAAGAUUUUAGCUGGGGCCUCAGGAAACAGGAGGGAAGUAGCCCAAAGGAUAUUGAAUUAAAAAAUAUAAAUACAAUAUAUCAUGGUUUUACAAAUGAAGACUUGUAUGACCAAGAGUUGAAUCUGUAUGUGACAGAGCCAAGGAGUAAGAAUUGUGGGCAGGCUGAGUUCAAGCUGGACUUUAUGAUUCAGAUAAGCUUCAAAACCCCAAAGGUGAGAAAUUUC
ensembl:lncRNA